rnacentral:rRNA from 1 species
UGGGGAAUAUUGCACAAUGGGCGCAAGCCUGAUGCAGCCAUGCCGCGUGUAUGAAGAAGGCCUUCGGGUUGUAAAGUACUUUCAGCGGGGAGGAAGGUGUUGUGGUUAAUAACCACAGCAAUUGACGUUACCCGCAGAAGAAGCACCGGCUAACUCCGUGCCAGCAGCCGCGGAAAUACGGAGGGGGCAAGCGUUAAUCGGAAUUACUGGGCGUAAAGCGCACGCAGGCGGUCUGUCAAGUCGGAUGUGAAAUCCCCGGGCUCAACCUGGGAACUGCAUCCGAAACUGGCAGGCUUGAGUCUUGUAGAGGGGGGUAGAAUUCAAGGUGUAGCGGUGAAAUGCGUAGAGAUCUGGAGGAAUACCGGUGGCGAAGGCGGCCCCCUGGACAAAGACUGACGCUCAGGUGCGAAAGCGUGGGGAGCAAACA